rnacentral:lncRNA from 1 species
GGGUGAUUUUCAGGGACUUUUCAACCGAUCCAGUCGGCAGGGCGGAGAUUCCUAUUAAAAUUUGUUCUUAAAAUCCCCCUUGACUGCGGCAUGAAUCAGGCAAAGUUCUUGGUAAUGAAACUCCGUCCUGCUUCCGUCCCCCAGACUCGAGUCUAGUUUUAUUUUAUUAAUGGUCUAGCUAGCCUUGAGUGCGAGAUGGCGAGCAAAUUCCGAAAAUUUUAUGUUUAAAAAGAUGAACUCAAGAUUAAUGGUGGCAGGGAAACAGAAAUGCUUGAAGUGUUACCGAGAUCGUGCUCAUGACAUGAUGUAAGGUACCACGAUGUUAGUAACAUUGAACGCAUAUUAAAAUAAAUAAAUUGUCGAUAGUAUACUCGCAAACAGUUGAAGGAUAUCCACAAAGCAAUGACACAAUGUGAGACACGUGCAUAAAUUCCGCCACGCGAGUCCCUGAAAUGAUGCAGUCCAGGUGAAAGCUUCUGGAGUCGGAGAAAUUUUCAAACACCGCAACCUGACGACACGGUGGCGUCGACAGGUGUGAUAUACCAGUUAAUUACAGUUGAAAAUGUUCCCUCCAACUAUUUGUAACUGUAAAUGGUGGGUGAGAUGCUAACAUGGGCUUUUCAAUCUUGCUGUAGCUCACUCGGGCAGUUUAUCUAAAACCAUAUUGUCCGAAAUCAACCAUUCGGAGCGUGCAGAGGAUAGAGUCCUCGAGAUGAUCCACACGCUUCUGCACUGCCUUGGGUUUGAGCAAACCCUAAAACCUGCGCAUAUGGGCAAUGAAGGCGUCGCAGAGACGGAGAUGAAAACAAAACGAACCAGCGCAACCUCAACCGA